AUUGAACGCUGGCGGCAGGCUUAACACAUGCAAGUCGAACGGGCACUUCGGUGUCAGUGGCAGACGGGUGAGUAACACGUGGAACGUACCUUUUGGUCCGGAACAACUGAGGGAAACUUCAGCUAAUACCGGAUAAGCCCUUACGGGGAAAGAUUUAUCGCCGAAAGAUCGGCCCGCGUCUGAUUAGCUAGUUGGUAGGGUAAUGGCCUACCAAGGCGACGAUCAGUAGCUGGUCUGAGAGGAUGAUCAGCCACAUUGGGACUGAGACACGGCCCAAACUCCUACGGGAGGCAGCAGUGGGGAAUAUUGGACAAUGGGGGCAACCCUGAUCCAGCCAUGCCGCGUGAGUGAUGAAGGCCCUAGGGUUGUAAAGCUCUUUUGUGCGGGAAGAUAAUGACGGUACCGCAAGAAUAAGCCCCGGCUAACUUCGUGCCAGCAGCCGCGGUAA
rnacentral:rRNA from 1 species